CGGUUUUUUUGAUGAUGUAGAGUUGGUUGUCGCUGGCCCUUUCGGGGGUAUGUGCACGCCUUCUCUUGAAAUAAACACCUGUGCCUUGUGAGACGGAGGGCUUUAAUUAGUCUUCCGUCUAUUCAACCACACAAACUCAUUGUAUUUAAACUGAAUGUAAUUGAUGUAACGCAUCAUUAUUACUACCUUUCAACAACGGAUCUCUUGGCUCUCGCAUCGAUGAAGAACGCAGCGAAAUGCGAUAAGUAAUGUGAAUUGCAGAAUUCAGUGAAUCAUCGAAUCUUUGAACGCACCUUGCGCUCCUUGGUAUUCCUUGGAGCAUGCCUGUUUGAGUAUCAUGAAAUUCUCAAAGUAAAUCUUUUGUUAAUUCAACUGGUUUUACUUUGGACUUGGAGGUCUUUGCAAAAUUUCCGUCUGCCUCUCCUAAAUGGCUUAACUGGAAUCCAAUAUAUGGUUUGUUCCCCUCCGCGUGAUAAAGAACCAUCCCCGAGGAACACGGAAAAAGGGGCCAAGAAAUUCCGAAGAACCGCUUCCUAUAAGCCAAUAAGUUUGAUCAUUUAAUUUUAAGAUCUGAUCUCAAAUCAGGUAGGACUACCCGCUGAACUUAAGCAUAUCAAUAAGCGGAGGAAA
rnacentral:rRNA from 1 species